rnacentral:tRNA from 1 species
GGGGUUGUAGUUCAAUGGUUAGAGUGUUGCCCUGUCAAGGCAAAGGUUGUGGGUUCAAGUCCCAUCAAUCCCG